AAUUCUCGAUACACCACCUCUUCUGUCCUUCAUUUCUGUGCUAAUGGUGUUUCUCGGAUUUCCCCGAGUGCCAAGAAAUGGCGGAAGCCACCAUGAUCCCACUUCCAGUUAGCGAACUUGAUGCUCCUUAACAAAAGUCUUGACAGGUGGGAUGUCAAGCAGCAGCAGCCCAACUUGGUAAGUAUAGGAGUAUUAUAUUCAGAGCUCUUAACAUAAUCCUUGUCUGAGUUUUAGACUCACUGAUCUGUAAGUAUUACAGAUUGUUUCAUUUAUUGUCGUGCUCAUGAUGGACCCUCCUUGUGCCGAGCCUCAAUCAUGAGACCUUGUGUGGAUGUAAACCUGUGAAAUAAAGACUUGAGUUACCCUUC